rnacentral:tRNA from 1 species
GGGGGAUUAGCUCAGCUGGGAGAGCGCUACAAUGGCAUUGUAGAGGUCAGGGGUUCGAAUCCCCUAUCCUCCA